rfam:Bacillus sp. VT-16-70 Bacillus_obstructivus_contig196.6, whole genome shotgun sequence.
GAGGAAAAGAAGAAGCACCCGCUUCUCGCCUGAUUGACGCAAGUUUGCAGUUGGCAGGUUUCGAAAUUCAUCACAUUCUAACUAUUCAUGCGAAUGUAAAGUGCGGGUCCUUUUUACGGCCUGCACUUUUCUUGUUUA